rnacentral:pre_miRNA from 8 species
GAAGGCCUGUGACCUGUGGCUGGGCCAGGGGCUGCAACACAGGACAUGGGAGCUACCUGCCCCUCCUGCUCGUGUCUUGUGUUGCAGCCAGUGGAACAGUCACACCGC